rnacentral:lncRNA from 1 species
AUCUAGUUGUACAUAUCAUCAUGAGUUAUCUGCUUAUACUAUAUUCUUGUUAUUGUAGAUUAACUGCAUAAAUGGCAUCCUCACUAUCACUUCAAGGCAUACUACAUGCAAAUAAAUUGAUCGGACCAAAUUAUGUGAACUGAUUGAGAAACUUGAGAAUAGUUCUCAUUCAGGAGAAAGUCUCCUAUAUACUGGAUUCACUUGCACCUGAUA